GUGUGUGUGUGUGUGCGUGUGCGUGUGUGUGUGUGCGCGCGCGCGCGUGUGUGUAUAAGUACACCGUGGAAAAAAAGCGAUUCGUUGUUUGUAUAAUAUACGUAUAGGUAUACAGCCGACGCGAACAAAGACGGUCAUUGUGAUGUAAUGCGAUAUUAUAAAAUUCGCCGCAUACAAACGACGGGCAUUGUUGUCGUAAGCAGGC